rnacentral:rRNA from 1 species
GACAGAGGUGCCGAGCGUUAGGCGGAAUCACUGGGCUUAAAGCGUGUGUAGGCGGAUCGUUAAGUGCCUUGUGAAAUCCCACGGCUCAACCGUGGAACUGCUUGGCAUACUGGCGAUCUUGAGCCACUUAGGGGCUACCGGAACAAAUGGUGGAGCGGUGAAAUGCGUAGAUAUCAUUUGGAACGCCAAUGGUGAAAACAGGUAGCUGGGAGUGUGCUGACGCUGAGACACGAAAGCCAGGGGAGCAAACGGGG